rnacentral:rRNA from 1 species
AAGCCAUGCAUGUCUAAGUAUAAAUAAGUCUAUACUGUGAAACUGCGAAUGGCUCAUUAAAUCAGUGAUAAUUUACUUGAUAGUACCUUACUACAUGGAUAACCGUGGUAAUUCUAGAGCUAAUACAUGCACAAAAACCCGACUUCCGGAAGGGUUGUAUUUAUUAGAUAAAAAACCAACCCGGCUCACGCCGGUUCUCUGGUGAUUCAUAGUAACUUGUCGAAUCGCACGGCCUCGUGCUGGCGAUGUUUCAUUCAAAUUUCUGCCCUAUCAACUUUCGAUGGUCGAGUAGUGGUCUACCAUGGUUUCAACGGGUAACGGAGAAUUAGGGUUCGAUUCCGGAGAGGGAGCCUGAGAAACGGCUACCACAUCCAAGGAAGGCAGCAGACGCGCAAAUUACCCAAUCCUGACACAGGGAGGUAGUGACAAUAAAUAACAAUACAGGGCUCUCAGAGUCUUGUAAUUGGAAUGAGUACAAUUUAAAUACCUUAACGAGGAACAAUUGGAGGGAAAGUCUGGUGCCAGCAGCCGCGGUAAUUCCAGCUCCAAUAGCGUAUAUUAAAGUUGUUGCAGUUAAAAAGCUCGUAGUUGAAUUUUGGGGCCGGCGUUGUGGUCCACCUAGCGGUGAGCACUGCCGCGCUGGCCCUCACCUUCUGGCUAGCCCGGCUGCCCUUCACUGGGUGGCCGUGGUGAACCAGGACUUUUACUGUGAAAAAAUUAGAGUGUUCAAAGCGGGCUCGCGCUUGAAUACAUUAGCACGGAAUAAUGGAAUAGGACUUUGGUUCUAUUUUGUUGGUUUC